GACAGAGGGUGCAAACGUUGUUCGGAAUUACUGGGCGUAAAGCGCGUGUAGGCGGCUCGGCAAGUCGGGUGUGAAAGCCCUGGGCUUAACCUAGGAAGUGCACUCGAAACUGCCAAGCUUGAGUUCUGGAGAGGAAGGCGGAAUUCUCGGUGUAGAGGUGAAAUUCGUAGAUAUCGAGAGGAACACCGGUGGCGAAGGCGGCCUUACUGGACAGCAACUGACGCUGAGACGCGAAAGCGUGGGGAGCAAACAGG
rnacentral:rRNA from 1 species